rnacentral:tmRNA from 1 species
AGGGCUGGUUGCACGGUUAUCCCGCCAAUUGGAGCACCGUACGACGAGAUCAAAGAAUCGGCUAAGCAUGUAGAGCACAAGACGUAGGGCUUGCGGACGGGGGUUCGACUCCCCCCGCCUCCACCA